ACGGGGGGGGCAAGCGUUGUUCGGAAUUACUGGGCGUAAAGGGCGCGUAGGCGGCUGAGCAGGUCCGGUGUGAAAUCCCUCGGCUCAACUGAGGAAUUGCGCUGGAAACCGCUUGGCUCGAGUACAGGAGAGGAGGGCGGAAUUCCCGGUGUAGCGGUGAAAUGCGUAGAUAUCGGGAAGAACACCGGUGGCGAAGGCGGCUCUCUGGACUGUAACUGACGCUGAGGCGCGAAAGCGUGGGGAGCGAACG
rnacentral:rRNA from 1 species